rnacentral:rRNA from 1 species
CCUACGGGUGGCAGCAGUGGGGAAUAUUGGACAAUGGGCGAAAGCCUGAUCCAGCCAUGCCGCGUGUGUGAAGAAGGCCUUCGGGUUGUAAAGCACUUUCAGUGGGGAAGAAAGCCUUGGGGCUAAUACCCUCGAGGAAGGACAUCACCCACAGAAGAAGCACCGGCUAACUCCGUGCCAGCAGCCGCGGUAAUACGGAGGGUGCGAGCGUUAAUCGGAAUUACUGGGCGUAAAGCGCGCGUAGGCGGUCUGAUAAGCCGGUUGUGAAAGCCCCGGGCUCAACCUGGGAACGGCAUCCGGAACUGUCAGGCUAGAGUGCAGGAGAGGAAGGUAGAAUUCCCGGUGUAGCGGUGAAAUGGGUAGAGAUCGGGAGGAAUACCAGUGGCGAAGGCGGCCUUCUGGACUGACACUGACGCUGAGGUGCGAAAGCGUGGGUAGCAAACAGGAUUAGAUACCCUGUAGUC